UACGUGCCCCAUCUUUUACCUUUCCUUUCCAAUUUUGCCUUUUCUUUUAAAAUCCAACGGAACUAUGUAUUAUCUGUUUAAGUUCUCCGGCCUAGUUUGAUCAUGUGAUUCGUCUGUAGGGCAGUCGACUUUAAUAGUGCUAUGUAUAGCCCUGUGACGAUCUUAAUCCCUUGAUACAUGAUGCCUAAUUUAAUCUUGAGUCUGGUUUAUGUGUAAAGGUGAAAGGCGAUUUCAUGAACUUGUGGUCAGAGUAUUGUGUAUGUAGCAUUGUCCAUCUUGUUUUUUAAAAUGUGCUUAAGCAGUUUGGUAAUGAGUUAAAACUGGUAUUACAUGUCUCUGAAUAAAGCUAAAACACUGUAAGUUCUCCUUACAUGGCCUUAAUUUUGUGAUAAGUUGUCUGUUCCUAUGAAAAGAGUUUAGGAUAUGAUGUGUUGGCCUUGGGAAACACCUAUAGUGAAGAGAUUUCACUUCUUUCAAACAAAAGGAGCUAAUUUGGUUCUGUCUUUAAACAACUAAGUUGUGAGUGAAUUUUAAACUGUUUGGUGGUAUCAUCUUGUUCAUGACUAGGCCCUGAAUAGGUUUUGUAAAACUAAAAAGAGGAAUAUAUAGACAGUCUGGUUGUUGUUGUGAAUCGGCUUUUGAAGUCUGUUAUGUAAGCUUGAGGUGUCCAUAUAUGUGACUUUGUUUCUCUGUUGAAUGUAUGCCAUGCUCAGUCUUGUGUAGAUGUUCUAAGAAUGCUUUCACACUGUGUGUAAUCUUGUGUAUGGAGUGUGAUCUGGAGAGUAAAUGUUUGAGAUGCUUCACUGUCAAGAUGUUCUGUAUGGAUCUGUCUUCACCUAAGUCUAUAUCUUAGGUGUUUAGAUGGCUGGGGUCCUAUCUCUUUUAUUUAUUUCUCAAUAUGAUUGAAAGUCUGUUUAGAGGUCUAGUGAUUGUUUAACACAUGCCUUUUUAGCAUUAUAUGGGGUUUGCCUGAAAUAAAAUGGGGAUUAGUUUAGUAAUCAUAGAUAUGAUAUGCUUGGAGGAUUAACUUAGUGCCUAUUUAAUAGCAACUUAGGAUGUAUGAUAGGUUUACUCAGUUAAUUGUCCUUUAAGUUUCUUCAUAAUGAGUGUAUCCUUAGCUAAAUCACCUUGUGGAUUAACAGCUCUCAGUUUGGUUCAAGUGUUGACUAGUUAAAACUUCAGUUUAUUUCAAAAAGAAGUAAAUAGCUACUAGUCCUAUUCAAGAUUUCCUGAAGUUAAGCUCUAAUUACCUUUUACUUUGGUGAAUGUUGUGGAAAACUAUGUGUAAUUCUCUAUAUUAGUUUGAUGGCUCAGUGUAUUUAAUGUUAAAAUCUUAAAAUUGUGACUGUUUUCCUGGGAUACAAUCUCUGAAAUUGUGCCACCUUCAAACAAUUUUUCUCCCUAAGUUUGUCCAGUCAAAGGUAAAUAAGAAUGACUAAAUGUGUUCAUCCAACUUCAAUUUGUUUGUGAUCUGUUGGAAUCAUGUUGAGUGAUUAACAAAUCACCUUUGAGUUUAGACAGUUAAUGGUGUUUUCAAUCCUUUUGAUUAUGUUCUUUUCCCUGAAGUAUUUAAGAUGUGAAUAGAGACCCAUCUUCUUAUGUUUGAAUCGGUAAAAUUAAGAGUAUGCUAAAAGAUAGGGGAAUCUGCUUUUGUUAUAAUCUGCAUUAGUUAAAAGAAGAAGCUGAUCUUGAAUUGUUGUGUCCCUUGUUGGUUGUCAUCAUCCAUCUAAAUACGUAAAAGGGAUAUAAUAUCCAUUCUAUGUUGAUUACAUUAGUAAGUGACAAGAUCAUUGGAUGAAUAGCAUGAGAGGAAUCUAGGAGUGACUAAUUCUGCCUGCCCUGCCCUGCCCUGUGUCUCUAGCUUGAAUCAUUUAUGUUGAAUAGACUAAUCAGACUUAGCUUGACAUUUAUGGACCUAUGAGCCACUGAAAUCUUCUUUUAACUAAGCUUGAGACUUGAAGGGACAAACAACAUCCUGUUUUCCUGGAAGCUAAUGUCUACAAGAACUGCUUUCCUACAUGUAUGUCUAUGAAAUGUUUUAUGUUCUGGAGUAUAGUUUCAGCAUGCUUAGAACUUUCCUUUAAGUAAUUUCAUUGCUUGAAUCUUUAUCCUCUUGUUGUUAUGCUGGUUGAAAAGUCAAGGCAAGCUUUGGGUUCAGUUUAGCCUCCUCCGAUAGCCUGCCAUGCCUAAGGUUCUAGAAACCUUUUGAUCUUGUGCGGCAUCGGAAGCACGGAUGGUGGUAACCCCUUUGAUUGCUUAUACCUUUUGAGUUUGAGGUCCUACUGUAGUGUUGUGAUGCUUAUAAUCAGUCUUAGAGUUUAUCUCAAGGGAUAUACUAUAUUGAGUUGUGUGUUCCUAUGUAGUAAUUUAUUAUUUGCUAAGAUCUUAUUCAAUAAGUUGUUCUGAAUGCUUGUUGCUCCUGUUGUUUGCAAGAUUAUGCUUUAAUUAAUUCAAACCAAGAUGUGAUAGUACCUUGUUACAACUUUUCUAUGUACAAAUACUCAUUCUUUACCCCUCCUCUUCUUUGCAUGACAUGGGGAAUUAUCAAAUCCCCAAAUGCUCCUGAGAUGCUACUGCCCUUGGAGUAUUUUAUUGCUGCACUUGAAUGCCAUUACCUUGAUGAAGCUGCUGCAUUGUUGAGCUGGUCUCUGUUGCAUUUGUGGCCAACUUGUGACUUCAUAUGAAUGCAAGUUUGCUGCUGUUCUGCCUAAUAGAAAUAACUGCUAUGCUUGAUGGGUUGCUAAUAUUGUUGAGAGGUUGUACCUUGAGCAGUGCUGCACUGUUUGAUUUAGCUGCUAUUCUUUCCUGGAAAACAGUCUGCUCACUUUUCUGUUGGCUGCUACUUGAUAUGGGCUGCUGUUCUAUUUUGAGAAGGAAAAUCUGUGGAACAAAGGCUUAUAAAGACGAAGCAAGAGAAGUGGAUAUUUGGAGCUUGGAGCUUUGGAUGACGAAUCAGCAAACGCGGAAUAAUCGUGAUUAGAGGUCCAAGGACGCGAGGAGAUAGUAUUAGCUAUUCUAAUCUUUCUCCACCUCCCCCUCUCUCCCUCUCUUUAUUGGUCUUUUGUAAUUUGUAUACAUAUAUGACUUGUAAAUGCUUGUGUAUUAUUGAAACCCAUAGUUAGAACUUAGCUGAAACAAUUUUCAAAUAGAUGGUCUUUUUAUUAUUUUAGAAA